rnacentral:rRNA from 1 species
AACAUGCAGUCGAACGGCAGCAUAGGAGCUUGCUCCUGAUGGCGAGUGGCGAACGGGUGAGUAAUAUAUCGGAACGUGCCCUAGAGUGGGGGAUAACUAGUCGAAAGACUAGCUAAUACCGCAUACGAUCUACGGAUGAAAGUGGGGGAUCGCAAGACCUCAUGCUCCUGGAGCGGCCGAUAUCUGAUUAGCUAGUUGGUGGGGUAAAAGCCUACCAAGGCAACGAUCAGUAGCUGGUCUGAGAGGACGACCAGCCACACUGGGACUGAGACACGGCCCAGACUCCUACGGGAGGCAGCAGUGGGGAAUUUUGGACAAUGGGGGCAACCCUGAUCCAGCAAUGCCGCGUGAGUGAAGAAGGCCUUCGGGUUGUAAAGCUCUUUUGUCAGGGAAGAAACGGUAGUAGCGAAUAACUAUUACUAAUGACGGUACCUGAAGAAUAAGCACCGGCUAACUACGUGCCAGCAGCCGCGGUAAUACGUAGGGUGCAAGCGUUAAUCGGAAUUACUGGGCGUAAAGCGUGCGCAGGCGGUUGUGUAAGUCAGAUGUGAAAUCCCCGGGCUCAACCUGGGAAUUGCAUUUGAGACUGCACGGCUAGAGUGUGUCAGAGGGGGGUAGAAUUCCACGUGUAGCAGUGAAAUGCGUAGAUAUGUGGAGGAAUACCGAUGGCGAAGGCAGCCCCCUGGGAUAACACUGACGCUCAU